rnacentral:lncRNA from 1 species
UCAAAGAUGUAUUUUUUUCUGAUAAUUGUCUACGAAUACCUUGUUCAGUGUUCAUAGCUGAAGUUCUCCCUGUUGAUUUAUUCUAGUUAAUUCAUUAUGCAAUGUGCCUAAGAGAUUGGCUUUGAAAAUUUUUAACUUUAAACUAUUCUUUCAUCUUUCCCUAAAUAAUAUUUUUUCUAUGGUGCCUCAAGAAAUUUGUAUGUCCUAUGCUUUUAGUUGGGAGUAAAUGUCUUCCUCAAAGAUUCAUCUAAUACUAGAUGAUGAUAGAAAUUACCAUCAAAUUGCAUUUGAAAUUUGCUGAUACUUGUAAUUCUGUACAAGUUGUGUUUAAUAUAUGACUAGUGUUAAACCAACUUUAGCAUUUUCUUAAAUUCCUAAUGUUGGUUUGAGGCAGAGAAAUUUAAAACCAAGUCUAAUCUACUAGUGCACAAUAGAAUGAGCAGACUUGGGUUCCAACUGACUGUCCCCAGACAUAGCUUCAUCCCAACAUGCACACAAACUUACAACAGAAAACAAAUUUGCCAUUAAAUGAAGAAUUAACAUCUUUCUUUUAGAGAGAACCCCAGGCUGCUAGGAAAUCAUGAGCUCAGAGUCCUAAUGAGGCUGAAGUAGUGAAGAGAAGAAGCACCUCAGGUAAGCCAUGAACAUUCCCUGAUGUUGAAGUCUCACUUAUGGAGUGAGGGAACUAGACUGGGAGGUACUGUCUCCUUAUGGCUGGCUCAUCUGCCAAAAAGAGGGACUUUUCUAAAUAAUUGGCAACUGUGAAAAUGAAGUUGUGAUAGGCUUAUUAUCAUAAGUGUUGAAAUUCAGAAAUAAAAUACAGUAUUACAAUAUUUAGAGAUACUAUUUUUUUUCUGUUAGAAGGUAUUGAAUUGAGAUAGUCAUAUUUGCCUAUUAUCUACUUCUGAUGUUGAAUCAUCAAAUACAAUUUGUAUAGCAGGAAUUGAUGACUGACAGCUGGGUAUGAAGCGUGGAGUUUAGAAAUCCACGUUUUAAGCAGAUCUUUCAGGGGUCUCCUAUACUCACUAUUGAUUUUGACGUCUGAUCUCAAAGACAUGAAUUAUCUUGUCCAAUAUUUCUCCCUAAAAUAAUUUUUUAGGUGGUGCACAUCUGUAGUCCCAGAUAUUCAGGAGGUUGUGGAUGGAGAAUCGAGUUCAAGGGCAGCAUGGGCAACUUAGCAAGACCCCAAUAUUAAAAAAAAAAAAGUCAGGCAUGGUGGGACCAGUAGUCUCAGCUUCUUGGAGCCUGAAGAUGGAAGAUUGUUUGAGCCCACAAGUUCAAGACUAGCCUGGGCAAUAUGAAGAGACCCUGACUCAAACCGAAACAAUCCUCAAAACAUUUUUUAGUAUAAAACAAACAAACAAAAACAAAUGGCAGGCCAGAUUUGGCCUAUGUGAUUUGUAUCACAUUUAUUUAAAUAUAUAUAUGCAUACAUAGAUACACACAUAUAUAUAUGUAUAUAUGUAUACACAUAUAUAUAUGAAGAGAGAGAGAGUCAUGCAUUGAAUUCAGGAUGUUUUGCUCAAAUGUGAAAAAUGAAAAACUAACAAGAAAUAAGCUAACAAGCUUAAGUAAAUAUGAUCUCUGUACUAUGUAACCAUUUGUGCACUGUUAACAAAUGAAGACAAUUGUUUGAAUAUAUGUGUACAUUAUAUAUAUAUAUAUAUAUAUAUAUAUAUAUAUAUAUAUAAACAUGUUACAAGUAUAUAAUGUUUAAAUCUUAGAUAUAUUAUGAAAAAUUUCAAACUAUAUUGGGCUCUUUUCUUUCACAGCUACAGGAGCAGCCAGGAGGAUGCUCGGGCUUCAGUAGAGGUGCCUCCAGUUUCCCUUGCUGUGGCAAAAGAAGCUUUGGUUGGAUCCCAAUGAAACCAAUGAAAUCUUCAAUGCCAACUCUUAUCAGUAGAUUUGGAACCUGAUCAAAGAUAGCUGAUCAUCCACAAAACCAGUGACUAUUCAUUCUGAGGCUCCAUGCCAGAAAAAUUCCUUGGCUCCCCAGAGACACAGGCAUGUGGGCAUAGGUAAACAGAAGAGUAUAGUUAAUGCUCCAAUGUAGGAGAAGGUCACCUGGGUGCAGAGGAUGUGAAUUCUGUGUAGGCUGCUCAGAGAUACCAUGAAUCUAAGAUUAACCACCACAUGUAUCACAGCCUCUACCUGAAGGUAAAGGGCAAUGUCUGCAAAAACAAGUGGAUCAUCAUGGAACAUAUUCUAAAACUGAAGGCAGAUAAUGCCAAGAAGAAGCUUCUGGCUGACCAGGCUGAGACAAAAGAGGAAUACAAGCUCUGUGAGGAGCAUUCCAGGCCAAAGAGGAGGACAUCAAGACUCUGUCCAAGGAGGAAGAGACCAAGAAAUUAGGCUCCACUCUUGUGUCUGUACAUAGUGGCCUUGAUAAUUACAUAGAUACUCCUUGAAAUAAAAAAAAAAGCUUUAUCUGUUAAAAAACUAUAUUGUACCACAAUUUUAGAAAUUCACAGUUUUAUAAAUUGUCAUUUUUACAAUAAAAGAAAUACAGUUAGUCUGCUCUUUGAAUUGUGAGGCUUGAAGAAGCCAUGUUACUUGUUUUAAAACCAGAAAUAGUUCAUCACUCUUUAAAUAUUUUUGCUCUGUUUUACAUACUUUAUUUUUUUUAAUCUUCAACACUGUUCUGAACUUCUUUUACCAUUACAUACAAUGUUCAAAUGGUCAGCAUUUCCCUUUCUCUUUCUCCCUUUCUCUCCUUCCCCCAUUGCUUCCUUCCUUCCUUCCUUCCUUCCUUCUCUCUAGCACUGGAGCUCAAGCGCAGGGCCUCAUCAUGCAAGGAAAGUGCUCUAGCACUGAAACAUCCCAGCCUUCAGGAGAGUUUUCAAUUAAAGUCUCCUGAAAGAAAUCUGGGUACACAAAUAUGAUAAUUACAAUUUUAGAAAUGGGAGGUCCAUGCCUUUAAUCCCAGUGACUCCGGAGUCUGAGACAGGAGGAUCAUAAGCUCAAAGCCAGUCUCAACAAAUUAGUGAGAUCCUGUCUCAAAAAAUAAGGGCUCUGAAUGUGGCUCAUUGGUAAAGCUCCCCAGGGUUCACUCAGCCAUAUCAAGGGGGGGGGGAGAAUUUUAGAAAAGGGAAGAAACAUUUUUUAAAUAAUACAAGUUGCACAAUUUUAGCUUCAAUUUAAAAUUUAUAUCUAUGCUCAGACUUUAUUUAUAGGAAAAUUCUGUGAUUCAUUCCUGGAAAACCAUGGUACUUAGUUUAAAAUUGGAAAUGGUCUUUCUUUCUUUCUUUCUUUCUUUCUUUCUUUCUUUCUUUCUUUCUUUCUUUUUCUUGGUGGCCUUUUCUUUGCAUUGUGGUUUAACACUGGUUUCCAGAUUAUGGCCUUUUUUUUUUUUAAUCUUGUCCAAGUCUAGCUUCACUGUCCUCAAUUCUAUAUUCACAAUAGUUCACUAAAAUCCUCUAGUUCUUCAGCAUUUCUUGAACAAAUCCUUAGUGUUUUGUCACCAUGGCUAAUAGGUAUAUCUGCAUUCUUCUCAAAUUACAUUACAACAUUCAGUUUGUCAUUUUCUAGUAAAAGCCUAGCUCUUCUGCCUUAUAAGAUUCUGUAUUCUCAGUUGCAGGGCUUUCUGAGGGUCAGGAGCUACCUGGGUUGUUAGAAUGUGCUAGACCUUAGUGGAGGAUUCUGGAGGAAGACCCCUGGUCUAUCGUGGCUGCUUUCAUUGAAGCUCUGAUUACCUUAACUCCUCCUCACACCCAGCCCCAAGAUAAUAAUUCAAAGAGAAGAAAAGGAAAUGGAGGAGCACAGACAUGGACACCCUGGUAAUCCAUAAAUGUUCACUUCCAAUAAUUCUGAAGUUUGAGCAGAAAUUCGGGGGUCUUUUAAACUUCUUCACUCCUUAGGUGUUCUAGGUCAAAAGGUCAGAGGAUGUCACUAUGACCCUGCAACUUCUUUUGGUCAUGCUUCUAGAAUCCCAGCAUACUUUUAAAAUUUUUAUCUCUGUGCCAGUCUUAGGGAAAGAUAGACAACCACUACCCACCCUGCCAUUAAAGAAUUGUUCAUAUAUUAGGCUGUUUCUUAUUGCCAACCCUGAGGUGGGCUAGAUUCUUGAUCCCCUCUCCAGUUUCCAGUUCUACAUUAAUGUUGCUGGUAUGUUUUAGGAUGAAUCUCUGUUAAUUCCAGGAGGGUACUUUACCUUCUUCAGGUAGGUACAGACAUUCUGAAACCUGAGCACUGUCAUCAGGGCAUCCCUGUGUCCCAGACAUAAUAUCUCUCAAAUUCCAAGUCCUUCAUGUAUGGGGGAAGGGUGAGAGAAAACUUUUACAAGGACUGAUAUGGAGGUCUUGUUUGCAGUUGGGAGUUUCCUGCAGGUGUGGAGUCAGGGUCUCCUUGACCACAGAAAUGUAGGUCUGUGCUAGUUUCUCAAAAUUCCUACCUAUGGUCUCUUCCUCAGCUGUUCUCAGCUGGAGGAUUGAGAGGCUGCAAUGGAGAGAACUCAGUCUGGAAAGUGUUGAGAAGAUUGUGGAGUUGUGCUUCUGAUUGGUAGGAACCACAAAGCACUGGAUGCAUCCAAUCUCCAAUCUGUUGUCUGAGAGCCUGUCCCUCUUCCCCAGGUUGAGUCAAUGGAAAGGAAGCUCCUGGAUUUUCGAGCCCAAGUAUCCAAACAGGAGAGGCUCCUUCAGAACACAGCUGAAAAUAGGGCCCAGUUGGUAACUCCUGCUUUGUGGGGCUCUUUUAUUGUUUCAGUGACCAGGACACAUGAUGUUUUGAAGAAGGAAAGGACUAACUUGGAGCUAAAGAAUCGAUUGCACCUUUCACACUCACAGAGCCUGCUUCAAACACUUCACUGUCUAUGAUCAGAUCUGUAAGUGACUCUGACCUCCUUUGACCUUCGAGAAGCAUAUAUUCUGGUCCACUAGACAGGUCUUAGCUCCUAGAUAGCCUCUAGCUAGGGUUCUAUCCCUUCACCCUCGUGCCCUCUCAGCUCCCUGCCCUGCCCUUGCUCUCCUGUGUCAUUGUCUCUCCUCUUUACCCCAAUUUUCCCUCCUUGACGUCAGUCAAGCAAGGAGGUGGGAGAAAUGCAGUUAAGUUGGUCCUUGAAUGAAGAAAUUUUUAAAGUCUGUAAAUUAGUUGUCUACAAGGAGAUCUUGAGGACAUUUGUAUAUUAUGGACUUUCCUGAACUACUUUAUAAAAAAUUAAAUAAGGCAUAACCUUAUAAAUUGACUUGAGUGCACAAUAUUAGGUUAAGAACAGCAAUUUGAUUUUGACACAUCAGUUUUAAAAAAAUGAAGGAAGAUCCAUAUGGUCUCAUUGUCAUAAAAGAAAAAAAAUGAUAAUUCAAAAAAAAACACUGAACUUUAAGGGAAAAAAUUUUAAAAUAUGUGUACCAGAUAUUGUAUACAUUUACUUAAAUACUGUGCUUAUAAUUCCCUAGAAAUACUUUGAAGAAAAACUUGAUAUGUAACUGAUUGUUUUUUUUUUAUUUUUUUUAAUAAAAAU